rnacentral:rRNA from 1 species
ACUGCUCAGUAACACGUGGACAACCUACCCUUAGGCCUGGGAUAAACCUGGGAAACUGGGUAUAAUACCGGAUAGGUCUCGAAUGCUGGAAUGCAUCGAGGCCCAAAGCUCCGGCGCCUAAGGAUGGGUCUGCGGCCUAUCAGGGUAGUAGUGGGUGUAAUGUACCUACUAGCCUACGACGGGUACGGGUCGUGAGAGCGAGAGCCCGGAGAUGGAUUCUGAGACACGAAUCCAGGCCCUACGGGGUGCAGCAGGCGCGAAAACUUUACAAUGCUGGAAACAGCGAUAGGGGGACUUUGAGUGCCAGGAUACAAUUCUGGCUGUCGUCGUGCCUAAAAAGCACGGCAUAGCAAGGGCCGGGCAAGACCGGUGCCAGCCGCCGCGGUAACACCGGCGGCUCGAGUGGUAACCGCUAUUAUUGGGUCUAAAGGGUCUGUAGCCGGCUGGAUAAGUCUCUUGGGAAAUCCGGUAGCUUAACUAUCGGGCUUUCAGGAGAUACUGUCCGGCUCGAGACCGGGAGAGGUGAGAGGUACUUCAGGGGUAGGGGUGAAAUCUUGUAAUCCUUGAAGGACCACCAGUGGCGAAGGCGUCUCACCAGAACGGAUCUGACGGCAAGGGACGAAAGCUAGGGGCACGAACCGGAUUAGAUACCCGGGUAGUCCUAGCCGUAAACGAUACUCGCUAGGUGUCGGCCACGGUGCGACCGUGGUCGGUGCCGUAGGGAAACCGUGAAGCGAGCCACCUGGGAAGUACGGCCGCAAGGCUGAAACUUAAAGGAAUUGGCGGGGGAGCA